UACGGGGGGGGCAAGCGUUGUUCGGAAUUACUGGGCGUAAAGGGCUCGUAGGUGGCCACCUAAGUCGGACGUGAAAUCCCUGAGCUUAACUGGGGAACUGCGUCCGAUACUGGAUGGCUUGAGUUUGGGAGAGGGAUGCGGAAUUCCAGGUGUAGCGGUGAAAUGCGUAGAUAUCUGGAGGAACACCGGUGGCGAAGGCGGCAUCCUGGACCAACACUGACACUGAGGAGCGAAAGCCAGGGGAGCAAACGGG
rnacentral:rRNA from 1 species